rnacentral:rRNA from 1 species
GGCGGACGGGUGAGUAAUGUCUGGGAAACUGCCCGAUGGAGGGGGAUAACUACUGGAAACGGUAGCUAAUACCGCAUAACGUCGCAAGACCAAAGAGGGGGACCUUGGGCCUCUUGCCAUCGGAUGUGCCCAGAUGGGAUUAGCUAGUAGGUGGGGUAACGGCUCACCUAGGCGACGAUCCCUAGCUGGUCUGAGAGGAUGACCAGCCACACUGGAACUGAGACACGGUCCAG